ACGUAUUCUCUUCCAUCGCAGGAGCUGGCUGUGCGCACAGAUUAGCGGCGUUACGGUAUUUGGCAUCAUCCUCUCUGCGCACCGUGCCUGGCAGCGGCUCAACUCUCGGCUUCUGCAGACACCGUGGUCGGAGAAUGCGCUCUUCUCCGUGGAGCAGUCGGUCUCUGUUGCUUCAUAUGAGCGCACGGGAUGAUUGCGCGUCGCGGAGCGGUUAUUUACCACCGAGGCUUUCUAGGGGGGUUUGAGCGCCAAGAAGGAGCUGACAGACAGACAGACAAACAGACGGAGGGAGCCUGUGGUCUUCAGGCAAAGGGGGGUGGGUUUCUCGACUGCGCUGCGCAGACAAGCGGCGGAGCGGACAGCCUCUGCAAACCUCCUCCUCUUCCUCCUCCACAACAACACGGGACAAGAGGAAGAAGGAAAGACAGAGGAGGAGACGUGCAGGAGGUCUGUGGGGUUGAAAUCUGGACACAUACGGCGGUAAAAUGACGAUGUCCGUCCCGGAGAGGAAAUCAGGAUCGGAGGGGAAGGAGGAGGAGAGCGAGGACGAGAGUGAGAUUCUG